GGUUAAGCGACUAAGCGUACACGGUGGAUGCCCUGGCAGUCAGAGGCGAUGAAGGGCGUGCUAAUCUGCGAUAAGCGCCGGUAAGGUGAUAUGAACCGUUAUAACCGGCGAUACCCGAAUGGGGAAACCCAGUGUGACUCGUCACACUAUCAUUAACUGAAUCCAUAGGUUAAUGAGGCGAACCGGGGGAACUGAAACAUCUAAGUACCCCGAGGAAAAGAAAUCAACCGAGAUUCCCCCAGUAGCGGCGAGCGAACGGGGAGGAGCCCAGAGCCUGAAUCAGCAUGUGUGUUAGUGGAAGCGUCUGGAAAGGCGCGCGAUACAGGGUGACAGCCCCGUACACAAAAGCGCAUGUGCUGUGAGCUCGAUGAGUAGGGCGGGACACGUGGUAUCCUGUCUGAAUAUGGGGGGACCAUCCUCCAAGGCUAAAUACUCCUGACUGACCGAUAGUGAACCAGUACCGUGAGGGAAAGGCGAAAAGAACCCCGGCGAGGGGAGUGAAAAAGAACCUGAAACCGUGUACGUACAAGCAGUGGGAGCCCCACCACUAAGCCAGUGGUGAACUCCACAUACGCAUCCUUUGCUGAGGAUACGGUUAACGGAGCGAAAGCGACGUUCAACCUCAAAAGAAGCAGAGGGGGCUUAGUGGUGGGGUGACUGCGUACCUUUUGUAUAAUGGGUCAGCGACUUAUAUUCUGUAGCAAGGUUAACCGAAUAGGGGAGCCGGAGGGAAACCGAGUCUUAACCGGGCGUUAAGUUGCAGGGUAUAGACCCGAAACCCGGUGAUCUAGCCAUGGGCAGGUUGAAGGUUGGGUAACACUAACUGGAGGACCGAACCGACUAAUGUUGAAAAAUUAGCGGAUGACCUGUGGCUGGGGGUGAAAGGCCAAUCAAACCGGGAGAUAGCUGGUUCUCCCCGAAAGCUAUUUAGGUAGCGCCUCGUGAAUUCAUCUCCGGGGGUAGAGCACUGUUUCGGCUAGGGGGCCAUCCCGGCUUACCAACCCGAUGCAAACUGCGAAUACCGGAGAAUGUUAUCACGGGAGACACACGGCGGGUGCUAACGUCCGUCGUGAAGAGGGAAACAACCCAGACCGCCAGCUAAGGUCCCAAAGUCAUGGUUAAGUGGGAAACGAUGUGGGAAGGCCCAGACAGCCAGGAUGUUGGCUUAGAAGCAGCCAUCAUUUAAAGAAAGCGUAAUAGCUCACUGGUCGAGUCGGCCUGCGCGGAAGAUGUAACGGGGCUAAACCAUGCACCGAAGCUGCGGCAGCGACACUAUGUGUUGUUGGGUAGGGGAGCGUUCUGUAAGCCUGCGAAGGUGUCUCGUGAGGGAUGCUGGAGGUAUCAGAAGUGCGAAUGCUGACAUAAGUAACGAUAAUGCGGGUGAAAAGCCCGCUCGCCGGAAGACCAAGGGUUCCUGUCCAACGUUAAUCGGGGCAGGGUGAGUCGACCCCUAAGGCGAGGCCGAAAGGCGUAGUCGAUGGGAAACGGGUUAAUAUUCCCGUACUUGGUGUUACUGCGAAGGGGGGACGGAGAAGGCUAUGUUGGCCGGGCGACGGUUGUCCCGGUUUAAGCGUGUAGGUGUGUGUUCCAGGUAAAUCCGGUUCACUUUAACACUGAGGCGUGAUGACGAGGCACUACGGUGCUGAAGCAACAAAUGCCCUGCUUCCAGGAAAAGCCUCUAAGCAUCAGGUAACAUCAAAUCGUACCCCAAACCGACACAGGUGGUCAGGUAGAGAAUACCAAGGCGCUUGAGAGAACUCGGGUGAAGGAACUAGGCAAAAUGGUGCCGUAACUUCGGGAGAAGGCACGCUGACACGUAGGUGAAGUGAUUUACUCAUGGAGCUGAAGUCAGUCGAAGAUACCAGCUGGCUGCAACUGUUUAUUAAAAACACAGCACUGUGCAAACACGAAAGUGGACGUAUACGGUGUGACGCCUGCCCGGUGCCGGAAGGUUAAUUGAUGGGGUCAGCGCAAGCGAAGCUCCUGAUCGAAGCCCCGGUAAACGGCGGCCGUAACUAUAACGGUCCUAAGGUAGCGAAAUUCCUUGUCGGGUAAGUUCCGACCUGCACGAAUGGCGUAAUGAUGGCCAGGCUGUCUCCACCCGAGACUCAGUGAAAUUGAACUCGCUGUGAAGAUGCAGUGUACCCGCGGCAAGACGGAAAGACCCCGUGAACCUUUACUAUAGCUUGACACUGAACACUGGUCCUUGAUGUGCAGGAUAGGUGGGAGGCUUUGAAGCGCGGACGCCAGUUCGUGUGGAGCCAUCCUUGAAAUACCACCCUUUAAUGGCUGGUGUUCUAACGUAGACCCGUGAUCCGGGUUGCGGACAGUGUCUGGUGGGUAGUUUGACUGGGGCGGUCUCCUCCUAAAGAGUAACGGAGGAGCACGAAGGUUAGCUAAUCCUGGUCGGACAUCAGGAGGUUAGUGCAAAGGCAUAAGCUAGCUUGACUGCGAGCGUGACGGCGCGAGCAGGUGCGAAAGCAGGUCUUAGUGAUCCGGUGGUUCUGAAUGGAAGGGCCAUCGCUCAACGGAUAAAAGGUACUCCGGGGAUAACAGGCUGAUACCGCCCAAGAGUUCAUAUCGACGGCGGUGUUUGGCACCUCGAUGUCGGCUCAUCACAUCCUGGGGCUGAAGUAGGUCCCAAGGGUAUGGCUGUUCGCCAUUUAAAGUGGUACGCGAGCUGGGUUUAGAACGUCGUGAGACAGUUCGGUCCCUAUCUGCCGUGGGCGCUGGAGAACUGAGGGGGGCUGCUCCUAGUACGAGAGGACCGGAGUGGACGCAUCACUGGUGUUCGGGUUGUCAUGCCAAUGGCACUGCCCGGUAGCUAAAUGCGGAAGAGAUAAGUGCUGAAAGCAUCUAAGCACGAAACUUGCCCCGAGAUGAGUUCUCCCUGAGACUUAGAGUCUCCUGAAGGAACGUUGAAGACGACGACGUUGAUAGGCCGGGUGUGUAAGCGCAGCGAUGCGUUGAGCUAACCGGUACUAAUGAACCGUGAGGCUUAACCUU
rnacentral:rRNA from 1 species